AUUGAACGCUGGCGGCAGGCCUAACACAUGCAAGUCGAACGAGUGGCGGACGGGUGAGUAACGUCUGGGAAACUGUCUGAUGGAGGGGGAUAACUACUGGAAACGGUAGCUAAUACCGCAUACCAUCAGAUGUGCCUAGAUUGGAUUAGCUUGUUGGUGGGGUAACGGCUCACCAAGGCGAUGAUACCUGGCGGGUCUGAGAGGAUGAACGGCCACACUGGAACUGGGACACGGUCCAGACUCCUACGGGAGGCAGCAGUGGGGAAUAUUGGACAAUGGGCGCAGGCCUGAUGCAGCCAUGCCGCUGGUAUGAGGAAGGCCUUCGGGUUUUAAAGUACUUUCAGCGGGGAGGCGUUACCCGCAGAAGAAGCACCGGCUAACUCCGUGCCAGCAGCCGCGGUAAUAC
rnacentral:rRNA from 1 species